ensembl:lncRNA
CUGCUUUGAAGGAAUCCUAAGAUGCACAAUUUUUCAAAAUGCUGCAAGCUAGUAGAUGACAUGGAAGAAUAAACACAUGAUCAGAAACUAAAGAAAGCUGACGUGGAAGAAAAGAAGAAAAAGAUGAAAGCAAUUGGAUCAAUUCACAGAAACCAUAUCAGUUUGUUGAACUCACGUGUGAUAAGGAACAUGCUAUUUGCUAAUGCAAGAAACCUCCGGAUAUCCCGUAUAGGAUGCUGUCAGUAAAAGCUCCCUGGAAUGUGAUGUUCCAAAGGAUACAGAGUGGAGAAGCCGUGACUUACUAUAGGCACCCUGUCACUUCAAUUAAUACAGCAUGCCCACCUCGAGCAAAGGAUGCUCUCAAUCCAAGGAAAUAUUCCAAUGGAUCUCUCUUGCCAAUGUUUAUUGCUAAAAGUGUUAGUCACUCAGUCAUGUCCAGUUCUGUGACCCCAUGGACUGUAGCUCGCCAGGCUCCUCUGUCCCUGGAAUUCUCCAGGUAAGAAUACUGGAGUGGGUUGUUGUGCCCUUCUCCAGGGGAUCUUCCAGUCCCAGGGAUCGAACCCAGGUCUUCCACAUUGCAGGCAGAUUCUUUACCAUCUGAGCUACCAGGGAAGCCUUAU